CUUUCUACACAGGUUGGGAUCGGUUGCAAUGCUGUGUUUCUGUAUGGUAUUGCACUUGUCCCGGCCUGUUGAGUUUGGUG
ensembl:miRNA MIR92A1 microRNA 92a-1